CGUGUAAGAACUUUCCUAAGAUUCGCGAAGAAAGUACCGCUUCUCCUGAAGAUGUAUUUUAUUUCUCAGAGCAGUGAAGGCAAGAAAUUAGCAGGAAAUGAGUAUUUUGCUACCUACGGUGGUUCUCUGGGUUAAAUGGGAACAAGGUUCUGAACAGUUUAAUACUGACUUAUCAGUGAAAGAUGAUAUCUCUUUCUCUUUCCAGCCAGAAUAUCCCGAUGGCUCAGAAAUCUUACGUCGUUCUUAACCACUGUAUACAAAUUUUGGAGAGAGUUUCCAGACAAAUUACAGCAGCAUCCUACGGCAAGCUGACAAAGAGAUUCCAAGAAUGCCACGCAUCUAGGAGGGAAAUACGAAUCCCUCUCUUUAGCCUGAAGCACGAAAUUGGCUUAAAGCUCAUUUUGCAGAUAACCAGAAACGAAAUCAGCAGUGCGUGGACCGGGUGGCUACAACUUUUUAAUGCUUUGCAGCAAUUUCUAAUACUUUCUGGAGGGAAAGAAAAACAAACAAACAAAAGUAAAAAAGUGAACCACAAAUUGGAAGGGCUCUGAAAGAAAUUCGCAUCUCAAUACGCAUUUUUCGCCCUGGUCUGCGGAGGGCUGGUCUCCCACACGGGCAUUGGUACCCUUAAGCCUCUGUGUCGAGACCGAUCCUACGGGCUGGGAAAAUAAAUAUCCUAGAUUUGGACUUUCACAAUUCAUUUUAGGCUAGGAAAAAAACCCCCACCUGCAUCCAGGUGCAUAGAUAAAAUAACGGAUCACCCCAAAUAAGCUAUAUAUAGAUAUAUCUCGAAGUUGUGUGUUCGAACAGAACAGACCAAUAAGGUGUUUACUAGACACGGUCUCCCGUAGAGGGGCUGAGUGCCGGAGUCUGACUCCCAACUGUGUCCAGAAAAAGAAUAAUUUCAGACUUUUGGAGUUCUGACCCAGGACAAAGCACUGAUACACUGGCGCUGUUUCAAAAAAGAGGGGGCAGCCAGGAUGCUGCUGCUAUUUUUCGCCCCUAGCCAAUAUUUCUGCCCUUGCCGUGUCCGACACUGCUCAGCCACAGCCUCUGCCGGGCUCCGCCGGGCACGGACCGCGCUCCCCCUCCCCGGGGCUCCGAAGUUAGUCUUCCCCGGAGGAGUAGAGGUUAACACCGAACUGCACAAGCCCUUCUUUCCCAUUCUGGCUCGCUGACAAGAGGGUUAAAGUUUAAUAUCAGCGGGCUGCCCCGAGUCACCGCCUGCCCACGGCUGCCGGCGGCCACGCGGGACCCGUCCCGGGCCGUCCCGGGUGGGGACGGCGGGUCCCGCCGCCCCCGCACCCCUCGCCCCGGACUCUGGGGAGACUGCGGGACCCGGGUGCGGGGCCCGCAGCAGCGCUCGCCCACCCCCCCCGCUAACCCCGCGUUUCCUUCGGGACUUCUUUCCCGACCAAAGGAGCGUCCCAAUCCAUUUCUAGAAGUUCUCACCCUCUCGUUUCACUUUAACGACGUUCGUGCUUUUCUAGUCAAAAAAUCUACGAGGGGGAGGCGUGGUGUGCUGUCCGGGCACCGGAUGCUGAGGAAUACACUCCUCGGGAAGGAUGGACACGCUUCCCACCACGCCGCAGCCUUGAAACACACCACGUCUCGGGACACACCGAUAGCAGAAGCAGCUGUCAAAUGAUGUAUGUUUUACCACAGUAACAAAGCCAAGGGCUCAUCAUCACCAAGCAAUUUUACUGUCAGCUGGUCAUCCUUCUUCUCAACAGUAACAAAGUAAGAGACCACCUUGCAUCAGUGCACAGAAGCUCGACCUGAUGCCGAAGUGAGUGGGGUAAUAACCCACAGGACUUUCAGAAAUAAAGGCAUAUUCCAGGGGUCCCUUGGCAACUAAACAGAAAGGGGCACACAGGAAGAGAUGCUCUGAACAAAUAGGCCUUUAAGCCAACUUUUCAAGGCCACAUCCAGUUACCCCAUAAGAGACGAAAAAACACCGCCCAGUCCUGAAGAUCAUCUGCCUGAUGGUGGACAGCACAGAGAAGAUUGCAAAAAGUGACCAGGUACUUUGGGUUCCUCAGUUUUGGAGGCCCAGGUGAUACACUUUGUAAGAGCAUGAUUUCCAGAAGGCAGUUGCUUAUCAUUUGUGAUAAUCAGGCUCCUAUGACAUGUUGCUAGCUGAACACCAAAACCAUCAGCCACUUUGACAACAGUGGCCCAUGUGGUGGUUGCCUUAAUGAGAACAAUUUUAUAAGUGCCCUUCAUGGCCUUGUAGAGCAGAGGAUAAAGAAUGGUAGAACAACAAAGCAAUGCUGUAACAACAGCAGUGGAGACACGUUGGUCUGAACAUGCGGGUAUGAACCUGGUGAUAGAAAAUAAUCAUGUGGCAAUGAGUUUUACGAAAUUUCAUGGAAGUGAUGAUCAUAUCCAGCUCAUACUUAUUUUGCUUUCACCACAAAAAGAAUAGCACCUCUGCUAGAAGCUAAUGUUCCAACAUGGAAAACCUGAAAAAGUGCCUUUAGCUCUUUUUAUAAAGGAGGCAUAUGGAACAAAGUGGUCACCAAUAUGCUAUUUUUAGUGCCUGAACUACAGUCCAGAAGAUAAUACCCAAUUACUUGAUAUAGUGCUCUAUACACUCUCUGAACAACAAUAGUGGACUGAGAAGCAAGAGAAAGCACCAGAAUAUGGUUUUGAAGUCAUUCAGAUUUCAUGUAUUUUAUUUUCUUCUAAAAAUAAAGGCUUUGAAAAGAGG